GACGAACGCUGGCGGCGUGCUUAACACAUGCAAGUCGAACGGAAAGGCCCGGCUUUUGUGGGUUGCUCGAGUGGCGAACGGGUGAGUAACACGUGAGUAACCUGCCCUUGACUGUGGGAUAACUUCAGGAAACUGGGGCUAAUAUCGGAUAGGAGCUCCUGCUGCAUGGGGGGCGUUGGUAAGUGUCGGCUGUGGGGGAUGGUAUCGCGGGUUAUCAGCUUGUUGGGGUAGUAGGGGAUUACCAAGGCUUUGACGGAUAGCCGGCCUGGGAGGGUGAACGGCGACAUUGGGACUGCGGUACGGCGCAGAAUGCUACGGGAGGCAGCAGUGGGGAAUAUUGCAGAAUGGGCGGAAGCGUGAGGCAGCAACGCCGCGUGCGGGAUGACGGCCUUCGGGUUGUAAACAGAUUUCGCCUGUGACGAAGAGUGAGUGACGGUAAUGGGUAAAGAAGCCCCGGCUAACUACGUG
rnacentral:rRNA from 1 species